GACGAACGCUGGCGGCGUGCCUAAUACAUGCAAGUCGAGCGGUCAGAAGGGAGCUUGCUCCCGGAAGUUAGCGGCGGACGGGUGAGUAACACGUGGGCAACCUACCCUGUAGAUCGGGAUAACAUCGAGAAAUCGGUGCUAAUACCGGAUAAUCAUUUGAAGUGCAUGCUUCGAAUGUAAAAGAUGGCUCCGGCUAUCACUACGGGAUGGGCCCGCGGCGCAUUAGCUAGUUGGUAAGGUAAUGGCUUACCAAGGCAACGAUGCGUAGCCGACCUGAGAGGGUGAGCGGCCACACGGGGACUGAGACACGGCCCAGACUCCUACGGGAGGCAGCAGUAGGGAAUCUUCCGCAAUGGACGAAAGUCUGACGGAGCAACGCCGCGUGAGUGAUGAAGGUUUUCGGAUCGUAAAGCUCUGUUGUUAGGGAAGAACAAGUGCCGUUUGAAUAAGGCGGCACCUUGACGGUACCUAACCAGAAAGCCACGGCUAACUACGUGCCAGCCGCCGCAGUAAAAC
rnacentral:rRNA from 1 species